AAGGAAUAUUGGUCAAUGGACGCAAGUCUGAACCAGCCAUGCCGCGUGAAGGAUUAAGGCCCUCUGGGUUGUAAACUUCUUUUAUAGGGGAAGAAAUGUGACGGUUCUCCGUCACUUGACGGUACCCUGGGAAUAAGCACCGGCUAACUCCGUGCCAGCAGCCGCGGUAAUACGGAGGGUGCAAGCGUUAUCCGGAUUCACUGGGUUUAAAGGGUGCGCAGGCGGAUGGGUAAGUCAGGGGUGAAAGUCUGCAGCUUAACUGUAGAAUUGCCUUUGAUACUGCUCAGCUUGAGUGUGGGAGAGGUUGAUGGAAUUCCAGGUGUAGCAGUGAAAUGCGUAGAUAUCUGGAAGAACACCAGUGGCGAAGGCGGUCAACUUGCCCAUAACUGACGCUCAUGCACGAAAGCGUGGGGAGCAAACA
rnacentral:rRNA from 1 species